GAUGAACGCUGGCGGCGUGCCUAAUACAUGCAAGUCGAGCGAACAGACGAGGAGCUUGCUCCUCUGACGUUAGCGGCGGACGGGUGAGUAACACGUGGAUAACCUACCUAUAAGACUGGGAUAACUUCGGGAAACCGGAGCUAAUACCGGAUAAUAUAUUGAACCGCAUGGUUCAAUAGUGAAAGACGGUUUUGCUGUCACUUAUAGAUGGAUCCGCGCCGCAUUAGCUAGUUGGUAAGGUAACGGCUUACCAAGGCGACGAUGCGUAGCCGACCUGAGAGGGUGAUCGGCCACACUGGAACUGAGACACGGUCCAGACUCCUACGGGAGGCAGCAGUAGGGAAUCUUCCGCAAUGGGCGAAAGCCUGACGGAGCAACGCCGCGUGAGGGAUGAAGGUCUUCUGAUCGUAAAACUCUGUUAUUAGGGAAGAACAAAUGUGUAAGUAACUAUGCACGUCUUGACGGUACCUAAUCAGAAAGCCACGGCUAACUACGUG
rnacentral:rRNA from 1 species